UACGGAGGGUGCAAGCGUUGCUCGGAAUCACUGGGCGUAAAGCGUCCGCAGGCGGGUAUUUAAGUCGGAGGUGAAAGCCCAGGGCUCAACCCUGGAACUGCCUUCGAAACUGGAUACCUUGAGUACGGGAGAGGGAAGCGGAAUUCCUGGUGUAGAGGUGAAAUUCGUAGAUAUCAGGAGGAACACCCGUGGCGAAAGCGGCUUCCUGGCCCGAUACUGACGCUCAUGGACGAAAGCGUGGGGAGCAAACAGG
rnacentral:rRNA from 1 species